GGAAGAACUCUGUCGUUAAAAUGACAACCCUUUAUUAUUCACGAAAUAACCCGACUCUGAGGUAAACGGUGCCUGCUGGGGAAAGAAUUAUUCUAUCUCGCAAACCCCUAGCCUUCCACUGGCCCUCCUCCUCAACACUGACUAGCCUGCUUGCAGGGAGGGCAGCCUGCUUGCUAUCCCGUGGCCCCCUACCUGCCCUUGUCCUAUUCUCCCCUUUCAACUGCUGGUCCAGACCACAGCAUGUAGCCUGCCAUUUUCAAAACAGUCCGAAGCCACUACAGAGUCCUGUGGCCUCUGUAGCAGGAGGCUUGAUACCUAAGAGGUCUGCAUGCCUAUCGGCUUUGGAUUUUCAGGGGCUCUUUAUAUUCACAUCCUAACACAGCCGGCCAUGUCCCUCCUUUGGCGCAGGUGUGGCCAAUAUAAAGGAGAAAAAUGUGUCAUUGCUGCGUUCAUCCCCCAGGGAGUUAAUGGCGGUUUGUUCACGCCACCUAGAAAUAACUAUUCAUCUCACUUUAAAAAAAAAAAAAAAAA
rnacentral:lncRNA from 1 species